GGUCUGAUGAAAUUUUUCUCCCAAGAUAAAAUCUUAGUCGGAUGAAUCUUUCUCCUAAGAUCACAACAAAUGGACCUAGUCUGACGAUUUAUCUCCUAGAGUCAAAAUCUUGGUCUGAUGAAAUUUUUCUCCCAAGAUAAUAUAAUAAAAUCUUAGCCGGAUGAAUCUUUCUCCUAAGAUCACAACAAAAUGGACCUAGUCUGACGAUUUAUCUCCUAGAUUCAAAAUCUUGGUCUGAUGAAAUUUUUCUCCCAAGAUAAUAUAAUAAAAUCUUAGCCGGAUGAAUCUUUCUCCUAAGAUCACAACAAAAUGGACCUAGUCUGACGAUUUAUCUCCUAGAGUCACAAUCUUGGUCCGAUGAAAUUUUUCUCCUAAGAUAAGAUAUCAAAUCCUAGUCUGAUUUUAAAAAAAGAAGAAGUUUCAAUUGAAAAAAAAAAGGUUGAAGUCAGGAGCCCGCCUGAAGAGAGGAAAGGCGUUUUAAAAAGAUGUUGAAAUCUUGCCAACCUAAAGAAAGGAAUUGCGAUGUAUGGUUUGAAGUCAGGAGCCCGCCUGAAGAGAGGAAUGGCGAUUAUUUUCAAAGUUGUUGUUGAAGUCAGGAGCCCGCCUGAAGAGAGGAAUGGCGUUUACAUUUCAAGUGUUGAAGUUGGGAGCCCGCCCAUAAUAACAGAGGAAUACAUUCAGUC
rnacentral:lncRNA from 1 species